UAUGCAAGUACUUAUUUUAACUAGAAGCUAUGUGAUACAGAGAAAAUAAUUUUAUUGGGAGUCAGAAGACCUGGUUUUGAAUGCCAACUCUGUUGCCAAUGUUCUCAGAGCUUCCCAUACUCUCAGCUAGCUCUGGCAAUAUGUACGUUAACCUCAUCAUCUAUGUGGAUAAUCCUAAAAAGUGUACUGCCAAGACCAACCAUGAGGCACAAGUGAGCCCUACAAAUUCCUCUAGGAGAAGCUGAGAGCUGCAGUUUUACAAGGACCAUAAAUGAGAAGUCAAGAAAGAGCUUACCCAUGCCAUCAAGGAAGAUUGAACAUUUCAAAUACUAUUCCCUCCUACUUGACAAAUUAGGAAUUCAUCUGGAACAUUCUGGUUUGGAGCUCUUGUGAUGAAGUUAUUGAUUCUCUUUCCUUGUCCCUAGAAUUCCCUGAAGAAAAUAUCAAGAAAGAAAGUGAAGAUCCCUCCUCUCCUUCCAGGGGAAACCUUCUAGGUGACUGCUUGCAAAUCUGGGAGACAAAAAGCAGGCUCUCAGCUUAGCAUAGGAAGAAGUCCCAGGACAGACUACCAGGCUUGGCAGGUUAAUGGACUAUUUGCUUUAGGAGUUUGCAGAUAUUAACAAGUUGCUUUCUACAUCUACUUGACUGGAUUCCCAUAAGCAGACAUGUCCCAGUCUGGGAAGACUAAAAGAAAGCAGAUGAAAUUCAAGGAGGUAAAAUGUUUUCUUAGAUCCAGGUUCAGCGCAAACGAUCGAAUCAGAGAUGUCCAGGGAUUCUCUGAGAUAUAUUUAACAGCCCUCAAAGGAGAGAAUCACCUUCCUGUUGGGUCUGGAGCUGAAAAGAUGGGUGUCAGAGAACUCUGGCUCCUAGACAUUUCUUUUACAAUCAAUUCCACUAUACUUAAAACAAGGUCCAUGCAAUUAGAUCAAACGAGACACUCAAUGCAGAAUUUAGCCAACCCAGCUCACCAAGCAUAAAAUGGUGAAGCAGAUGACAUAGAGAAGUGGCCCUCCCCUUGCCCUGACCUACAGUACAACUUAGACUUAUAUUGAGGGCAGGGAAUAGGGAAGGAUCUGAUAGGCAAGAUUGUAUAAUCACAACCAGAUUCUCCUGGUCCAAUGGGCAAAUUAAAAAUAUCUACAUUCUUCAUUUGCAACAAAAAGCUUUUGGUAAGCACUUGAUUACUUGUGAUGCUAUCCAUGAA